rnacentral:rRNA from 1 species
GUGGGGAAUAUUGGACAAUGGGCGAAAGCUUGAUCCAGCCAUGCCGCGUGUGUGAAGAAGGUCUUCGGAUUGUAAAGCACUUUAAGUUGGGAGGAAGGGUAGUAACCUAAUACGUUGCUACUUUGACGUUACCGACAGAAUAAGCACCGGCUAACUUCGUGCCAGCAGCCGCGGUAAUACGAAGGGUGCAAGCGUUAAUCGGAAUUACUGGGCGUAAAGCGCGCGUAGGUGGUUUUGUAAGUUGGAGGUGAAAUCCCCGGGCUCAACCUGGGAACUGCCUCCAAAACUGCAUGACUAGAGUACGGUAGAGGGUAGUGGAAUUUCCUGUGUAGCGGUGAAAUGCGUAGAUAUAGGAAGGAACACCAGUGGCGAAGGCGACUACCUGGACUGAUACUGACACUGAGGUGCGAAAGCGUGGGGAGCAAACAGGAUUAGAAACCCGAGUAGUCC